ACCCAGCUAGCUCAGUCGAUAGAGCAUGAGACUCCUAAUCUCAGGGUCCUGGGUUUGUGGCCCACAUUGGGUG
rnacentral:tRNA from 1 species